ACGUAGGGGGCAAGCGUUGUCCGGAUUUAUUGGGCGUAAAGAGCGUGUAGGCGGCUUGGUAGGUCUCGCGUCAAAACCUGAGGCUCAACCUCAGUUCGCGUGGGAAACCACCUAGCUAGAGUCCGGAAGAGGAGAACGGAAUUCCCAGUGUAGCGGUGAAAUGCGCAGAUAUUGGGAAGAACACCAGUGGCGAAGGCGGUUCUCUGGGACGGUACUGACGCUGAGACGCGAAAGCGUGGGGAGCGAACAGGA
rnacentral:rRNA from 1 species